CAGUAGCCGCGGGAAAACGAAGGUCCCGAGCGUUGUUCGGAAUCACUGGGCGUAAAGGGAGCGUAGGCGGCGUGGUAAGUCAGAUGUGAAAUCCCGGGGCUCAACCCCGGAACUGCAUCCGAUACUGCCAUGCUAGAGGAUUGGAGAGGUAGCUGGAAUUCCCGGUGUAGCGGUGAAAUGCGUAGAGAUCGGGAGGAACAUCAGUGGCGAAGGCGGCCAUCUGGGACAACACUGACGCUGAGGCACGAAAGCGUGGGGAGCAAACAGGAUUAGAUCCCCCGUAGUCCCUGUCUCUUAUACC
rnacentral:rRNA from 1 species